UGACUAUCCACAGGCAGGGCUAGAAAAGGGAGUGGAACAUUUUACUUAGGCAGGAAGCACUGAAGAGAAGAAUCUUUUUUUCAGUAGACAUUUGUGGGAAAUAAAAAUUUGUUUAGAAGAAUUUAGGCCAAGAGAUAAAAUGGUCUUCUUUUGACUGAGGAGAGAUAAGAUAGAUUUUAAGCAGACAUCUGAAGUUAAAGGUGAGAGAAGGAAGAUAAACUGGGUGAUUUUGCUCACCUAAGAAGGUACACAGAUCCAAAGAAAAAGAGAUUCGAGAGGUGUCUCCAGCUUCUGAUUUUGAUGACAUCUCCCAGAGAGGACCGUGUUGCCAUCACCAUCCCAGAGUCUGAAAGUGUCCAGGAAAUAUCAAUGAAAUCAUGGAAUUUUGAAGAAGAUACAACAAUUUUAUUUCUGCUACAACAGACGUUCUGCUAAUGGAACAGAAGUCAGCGAAGGACCUAUUAGGUUUUAGGUCACUUAUUACUCAAAGUUUAUACAUUCUACACUAAGUUAUUUAUUGCUCAAAUUUAUCUCAUAUUUAUUCCUA
rnacentral:lncRNA from 1 species